rnacentral:rRNA from 1 species
AACACGUGGAUAACCUACCUAUAAGACUGGGAUAACUUCGGGAAACCGGAGCUAAUACCGGAUAAUAUUUUGAACCGCAUGGUUCAAAAGUGAAAGACGGUCUUGCUGUCACUUAUAGAUGGAUCCGCGCUGCAUUAGCUAGUUGGUAAGGUAACGGCUUACCAAGGCAACGAUGCAUAGCCGACCUGAGAGGGUGAUCGGCCACACUGGAACUGAGACACGGUCCAGACUCCUACGGGAGGCAGCAGUAGGGAAUCUUCCGCAAUGGGCGAAAGCCUGACGGAGCAACGCCGCGUGAGUGAUGAAGGUCUUCGGAUCGUAAAACUCUGUUAUUAGGGAAGAACAUAUGUGUAAGUAACUGUGCACAUCUUGACGGUACCUAAUCAGAAAGCCACGGCUAACUACGUGCCAGCAGCCGCGGUAAUACGUAGGUGGCAAGCGUUAUCCGGAAUUAUUGGGCGUAAAGCGCGCGUAGGCGGUUUUUUAAGUCUGAUGUGAAAGCCCACGGCUCAACCGUGGAGGGUCAUUGGAAACUGGAAAACUUGAGUGCAGAAGAGGAAAGUGGAAUUCCAUGUGUAGCGGUGAAAUGCGCAGAGAUAUGGAGGAACACCAGUGGCGAAGGCGACUUUCUGGUCUGUAACUGACGCUGAUGUGCGAAAGCGUGGGGAUCAAACAGGAUUAGAUACCCUGGUAGUCCACGCCGUAAACGAUGAGUGCUAAGUGUUAGGGGGUUUCCGCCCCUUAGUGCUGCAGCUAACGCAUUAAGCACUCCGCCUGGGGAGUACGACCGC